rnacentral:rRNA from 1 species
GCUAAUUUCGUGCCAGCAGCCGCGGUAAUACGAAAGGUGCGAGCGUUAAUCGGAAUUACUGGGCGUAAAGCGCGCGUAGGCGGUUUGUUAAGUCAGAUGUGAAAGCCCCGGGCUCAACCUGGGAAUUGCAUUUGAAACUGGCAAGCUAGAGUGCAGUAGAGGGAGGUGGAAUUUCCGGUGUAGCGGUGAAAUGCGUAGAGAUCGGAAGGAACACCAGUGGCGAAGGCGGCCUCCUGGACUGACACUGACGCUGAGGUGCGAAAGCGUGGGGAGCAAACAGGAUUAGAUACCCUUGUAGUC